GUCACCGCGUCUCUAUUUCCGUCUCCAUCUCCGUCACCGCCACCGCGUCCUUCCGUCUUCAUCUUCUACGUGUCAUCCUGUUCGUCUUCAUCAUCUCCGUCUCAAGGUGAUUUAUUGCCGAAACUAUGACAUCAUCAAAAAAUGGCGACGAAACUGAAGUGUGAAUGAGGCAUAGCUGUAUCCCGGUGAAUUUGAGCAGCAUCAAUGAAAAGUUAACAAAAACUCAACGUGCUCACAUCGAAUGCACCCCAUUCAAAUGGGCGAUGGGUAUUUCUAACAACUUCUCAAUCUCAGGUGGUUUAUUAUGGGAGUUGGUAA